UACGUAGGGGGCAAGCGUUGUCCGGAUUUAUUGGGCGUAAAGAGCGUGUAGGCGGCCAUGCAGGUCCGUUGUGAAAACUCGAGGCUCAACCUCGAGAUGUCGAUGGAAACCGUCUGGCUAGAGUCCGGAAGAGGAGUGUGGAAUUCCUGGUGUAGCGGUGAAAUGCGCAGAUAUCAGGAAGAACACCUAUGGCGAAGGCAGCACUCUGGGACGGUACUGACGCUGAGACGCGAAAGCGUGGGGAGCGAACAGG
rnacentral:rRNA from 1 species